rnacentral:rRNA from 1 species
UACGUAGGGUGCGAGCGUUAAUCGGAAUUACUGGGCGUAAAGUGUGCGCAGGCGGCAGAGCAAGUCGAGUGUGAAAGCCCCGGGCUUAACUUGGGAAUUGCGCUCGAAACUACUUUGCUGGAGUGUGGCAGAGGAAGGUGGAAUUCCACGUGUAGCGGUGAAAUGCGUAGAGAUGUGGAGGAACACCAAUGGCGAAGGCAGCCUUCUGGGCCAACACUGACGCUCAUGCCCGAAAGCGUGGGGAGCAAACAGG